CGAACGGGUGAGUAACGCGUGAGCAACCUGCCUAUGACAGUGGGAUAGCCUCGGGAAACCGGGAUUAAUACCGCAUAAAAUCGUAGAAACACAUGUUUCAACGGUCAAAGAUUUAUCGGUCAUAGAUGGGCUCGCGUCUGAUUAGCUAGUUGGUGAGAUAACAGCCCACCAAGGCGACGAUCAGUAGCCGGUCUGAGAGGAUGAACGGCCACAUUGGAACUGAGACACGGUCCAA
rnacentral:rRNA from 1 species